rnacentral:rRNA from 1 species
GAUGAACGCUGGCGGCGUGCUUAACACAUGCGAGUCGAACGAGAAGUGGAGACGGAAACCUUCGGGCGGAAGACUUUAUUUCGAGUGGCGGACGGGUGAGUAACGCGUGGGUAACCUGCCUCAUACAGGGGGAUAACAGUUUGAAACGACUGUUAAUACCGCAUAAGACCACAGCACCGCAUGGUGCGGGGGUAAAAACUCCGGUGGUAUGAGAUGGACCCGCGUUCGAUUAGCCAGUUGGCGGGGUAACGGCCCACCAAAGCGACGAUCGAUAGCCGAUCUGAGAGGAUGACCGGCCACAUUGGGACUGAGACACGGCCCAAACUCCUACGGGAGGCAGCAGUGGGGAAUAUUGCACAAUGGGGGAAACCCUGAUGCAGCGACGCCGCGUGAGUGAAGAAGUAUUUCGGUAUGUAAAGCUCUAUCAGCAGGGAAGAAAAUGACGGUACCUGAGUAAGAAGCCCCGGCUAACUACGUG